rnacentral:miRNA from 1 species
GUGCAUGUAUAUAUGUGCUGGUAUGUGUAUGUAGGCAUGUGUGCAUAUAUUUAUAUGUGCAUGUGCAUGUAUGAUGGGAA